rnacentral:rRNA from 1 species
UACGUAGGGGGCAAGCGUUGUCCGGAUUUAUUGGGCGUAAAGAGCGUGUAGGCGGUUCGGUAGGUCCGUUGUGAAAACUCGAGCUCAACCUCGAGACGCCGAUGGAAACCCCCGAACCUAGAGUCCGGAAGAGGAGAAUGGAAUUCCUGGUGUAGCGGUGAAAUGCGCAGAUAUCAGGAGGAACGCCGAUGGCGAAGGCAGGUCUCUGGGCCACUACUGACGCUGAGAAGCGAAAGCAUGGGGAGCGAACAGG